UCCUCUUUUCUAUUUCUUUUCAUUUUUUCCACCACAAAUUCUUAGCUGAAUACUCUUAUUUCUUAACAAGAAGAUUAUUCAAUCAUGAAGCAUAAUCAUUUUUUCCUGGAGGCGGAAACAUAAGUCAAUCUCUUGGAGUCCUAAGACCAAGUUAAAGGCUACCUAGAAUUGUCUGCCUAAACAAAGAUAUAUUUUUCGCCAGCUGAUGCUAUAUGUGGGAUGCAGAAUUUCUAUAUUAAAGUUGAUGAUGUCUUCCAUGUAAAUAUAAGAUGGCGUCAAGGAUAUUGAAAACAUUGUUGUGCGUUCUUUUGAUAGAAAAUUUUUUUUUUUUUAAUCCCUCUAAGGGAUCGAUAUUUGAAUCCAUGGAGACUCGAGAGAUAAGUUCAACAUCUUUGUUUACGAUCCAACAGAACAAAAGAAAUGAAUAU